GAUGAACGCUGACCGAAUGCUUAACACAUGCAAGUCGAUGGGGAAGUGGUGCUUGCACCAUGGUAACCAUGGCGGACGGGUGAGUAACGCGUAAGGAACUUGCCUGCGGGACUGGGAUAACAGCAGGAAACUGCUGAUAAUACCGGAUAAGGUCAUUAAGCUGCAUAGCUUAGUGAUGAAAGGAGACGCCUGCGGAGAGCCUUGCGUCCUAUUAGCUAGUUGGAGGGGUAACGGCCCACCAAGGCGAAGAUAGGUAGCCGGCCUGAGAGGGUGGACGGCCACAAGGGGACUGAGAUACGGCCCUUACUCCUACGGGAGGCAGCAGUGGGGAAUAGUGGACAAUGGGGGCAACCCUGAUCCAGCAAUUCUGUGUGCACGAAGACGGUUUUCGGAUUGUAAAGUGCUUUCAGCAGGGAAGAAGGAAGUGACGGUACCUGCAGAAGAAGCGACGGCUAAAUACGUG
rnacentral:rRNA from 1 species